GGACGGACGAACCUCUGGUGUGCCAGUUGUUCUGCCAAGGGCAUGGCUGGUUGGCUACGUUCGGGAGGGAUAACCGCUGAAAGCAUCUAAGCGGGAAGCCUGCUUCGAGAUGAGGACUCCCACCCACUUGAUGGGGUAAGGCUCCCAGUAGACGACUGGGUUGAUAGGCCGGAUCUGGAAGCCAGGUAACUGGUGGAGGUGACCGGUACUAAUAGGCCGAGGGCUUGUCCUCAGUUG
rnacentral:rRNA from 1 species